rnacentral:lncRNA from 1 species
GGUUCAUAUACAGUACUAGGAUUUUGGAGGGCUGGAGCUGACAAACUUCUAGAACCGCUAGAGGAGGAAGUGUUGGAGGAUAUUUUGAAUCAAAUAAAAAUUCUAAAAAAAUUAGAAAAAAAAGAAACAAGGUGCUCAUAGAGAAACUGAACGGACGGAAUGCAGAGGAGGAAAAAUAGAAGAACAGCAAGAAAAAGAAGGGUUUCGAAACUAACUUAGGCCGGUCCGAGAGGUGCAAGAGGGUAGCGAAGGCGAUGGAGGUCGACCUGAAGGGCGCU